rnacentral:rRNA from 1 species
GUCCACACAGUAAACGAUGAAUACUCGCUGUUGGCGAUAUACAGUCAGCGGCCAAGCGAAAGCAUUAAGUAUUCCACCUGGGGAGUACGCUGGCAACGGUGAAACUCAAAGGAAUUGACGGGGGCCCGCACAAGCGGAGGAACAUGUGGUUUAAUUCGAUGAUACGCGAGGAACCUUACCCGGGCUUAAAUUGCAACUGACUGAAUCGGAAACGGUUCUUUCUUCGGACAGUUGUGAAGGUGCUGCAUGGUUGUCGU